UACGUAGGGUGCGAGCGUUAAUCGGAAUUACUGGGCGUAAAGCGUGCGCAGGCGGUUUUGUAAGCCAGAUGUGAAAUCCCCGGGCUUAACCUGGGAAUGGCAUUUGGGACUGCAAGGCUCGAGUGCGGCAGAGGAGACUGGAAUUCCUGGUGUAGCAGUGAAAUGCGUAGAUAUCAGGAGGAACACCGAUGGCGAAGGCAGGUCCCUGGGCUGACACUGACGCUCAUGCACGAAAGCGUGGGGAGCAAACAGG
rnacentral:rRNA from 1 species